UACGGAGGGGGCAAGCGUUGCUCGGAAUCACUGGGCGUAAAGCGCACGUAGGCGGAUCGUUAAGUCAGGGGUGAAAUCCUGGAGCUCAACUCCAGAACUGCCUUUGAUACUGGCGACCUUGAGUUCGGGAGAGGUGAGUGGAACUGCGAGUGUAGAGGUGAAAUUCGUAGAUAUUCGCAAGAACACCAGUGGCGAAGGCGGCUCACUGGCCCGAUACCUGACGCUGGAGGUGACGGCAAAGC
rnacentral:rRNA from 1 species